rnacentral:rRNA from 1 species
AUACGGAGGGUGCAAGCGUUACUCGGAAUCACUGGGCGUAAAGCGCGCGCAGGCGGUCUUUUAAGUUGGAUGUGAAAGCCUACGGCUCAACCGUAGAACUGCAUCCAAAACUAUUAGACUAGAGUGUGGGAGAGGAAGAUGGAAUUAGUUGUGUAGGGGUAAAAUCCGUAGAGAUAACUAGGAAUACCAAAAGCGAAGGCAAUCUUCUGGAACAGUACUGACGCUGAGGCGCGAAAGCGCGGGGAGCAAACAGGAUUAGAAACCCUAGUAGUCC